UGAUAUAAGGACUUGUUCAGUGCCUGCGCAGGGCUGUCCACCCCAGCGACAGUAUGUACUCGGUCGGGUUUUCACAGUGCUCCAGAGCUGAAGAGUGAAGAAUACCAUCAGUCCCACAGUGAGAUUGAGGAAAAGGAGGCCUGUCACCACCAUUCCUGCCAUCCUGCAUUCCUGGUGUCCAUCAUCCUAGAGGGCCUCCUUGCCAGCGACGAAAUCCAACAGUCAUCUGGACUCCCCAGUGCUCCUCCUCAAAGGCUCUAAAUCAGCCAGAAAGUGGAAGGUUCUGGGCAUCACACCUCUAUAAGUGAAUUUAUUGCUGGUGAAAGAUACCAUAUUGAUAGCAGUGGAAAUUAAAAUGCUGCAUUUAUCCUUUAAAAAAGUUUAUUUUAUAGACCCCUGGCUUAGCACUUUUGUCACUUCAUCCUUGGAUUUUUGAAAUGGCAUUUAUCAAGCACAAGGAUCAAGCUCAGACUUCAAGAGAGAC